rnacentral:rRNA from 1 species
UACGAAGGGGGCUAGCGUUGUUCGGAUUUACUGGGCGUAAAGCGCACGUAGGCGGAUCGUUAAGUCAGGGGUGAAAUCCUGGGGCUCAACCCCAGAACUGCCUUUGAUACUGGCGAUCUCGAGUCCGGGAGAGGUGAGUGGAACUGCGAGUGUAGAGGUGAAAUUCGUAGAUAUUCGCAAGAACACCAGUGGCGAAGGCGGCUCACUGGCCCGGUACUGACGCUGAGGUGCGAAAGCGUGGGGAGCAAACAGGG